UAGGGAAUCUUCGGCAAUGGACGAAAGUCUGACCGAGCAACGCCGCGUGAGUGAAGAAGGUUUUCGGAUCGUAAAACUCUGUUGUUAGAGAAGAACAAGGACGUUAGUAACUGAACGUCCCCUGACGGUAUCUAACCAGAAAGCCACGGCUAACUACGUGCCAGCAGCCGCGGUAAUACGUAGGUGGCAAGCGUUGUCCGGAUUUAUUGGGCGUAAAGCGAGCGCAGGCGGUUUCUUAAGUCUGAUGUGAAAGCCCCCGGCUCAACCGUGGAGGGUCAUUGGAAACUGGGAGACUUGAGUGCAGAAGAGGAGAGUGGAAUUCCAUGUGUAGCGGUGAAAUGCGUAGAUAUAUGGAGGAAAACCAGUGGCGAAGGCGGCUCUCUGGUCUGUAACUGACGCUGAGGCUAGAAAGCGUGGGGAGCAAACAGG
rnacentral:rRNA from 1 species